rnacentral:rRNA from 1 species
AUGGAAAGCUGGCGGCAGGCUUAACACAUGCAAGUCGAGCGAGCGGCGGACGGGUGAGUAAUGUCUGGGAAACUGCCUGAUGGAGGGGGAUAACUACUGGAAACGGUAGCUAAUACCGCAUACCAUCAGAUGUGCCCCGAUGGGAUUAGCUAGUAGGUGGGGUAAGGGCUCACCUAGGCGACGAUCCCUAGCUGGUCUGAGAGGAUGACACGCCACGCUGGAACUGAGACACGGUCCAGACUCCUACGGGGCGCAGCAGUGGGGAAUAUUGCACAAUGGGCGCAAGCCUGAUGCAGCAAUGCCGCGUGUGUGAAGAAGGCCUUCGGGUUGUAAAGCACUUUCAGCGAGGAGGCGUUACUCGAAGAAGAAGCACCGGCUAACUCCGUGCCAGCAGCCGCGGUAAUAC